rnacentral:rRNA from 1 species
UACGUAGGGUGCAAGCGUUGUCCGGAAUUAUUGGGCGUAAAGAGCUCGUAGGCGGUUCGUCGCGUCGGCUGUGAAAACCCGGAGCUCAACUCCGGGCCUGCAGUCGAUACGGGCGGACUUGAGUGUUGCAGGGGAGACUGGAAUUCCUGGUGUAGCGGUGAAAUGCGUAGAGAUGUGGAGGAACACCGAUGGCGAAGGCAGCCUUCUGGGCCAACACUGACGCUCAUGCACGAAAGCGUGGGGGAGCAAACAGG